UUCCCUCUCAUUGAUGCACGCCUCUUGUCCAAAACAUGCCACGCAUACCACAAACCCACGCUGCUGUCACUACUCUCAUUUCCCACGCAAAAUACACUAUUUUUUACCUUCAAACCAAAUGAAACAAAAACGUAUCUAACAAUACAACCACAACAACAUCUCACUCACUAUUGCUUUUCUCCCUCUCCCUCUAACUCUCCUCC
rnacentral:lncRNA from 1 species